UCAAACUUGGUCAUUUAGAGGAAGUAAAAGUCGUAACAAGGUUUCCGUAGGUGAACCUGCGGAAGGAUCAACAUUGGAUAACAUUUUCCCAAGCUCAGGAGAGAGAGAGAGAGGGGAGAGAACAAGGUUUUUCUUCUCUUCUCUUUUCUUCUGGCUUGCAAACAACUUUGAUACCCAAAAAGAGGAGUUCCUUGAUCUUCGGCCUCAGCUUAUUUAUUAUUUAGGUUGAUGGUUGGGGAGAGAGAGAGAAAGGGAAGGGAGGGGGAGACCCCGACCGGAAUAACAACAUGUGGUUGCCUGAUAAAAACGAGUUUGGUUUUGUUGGGAACGAGAAAAUGAAACAACUUUCAACAACGGAUCUCUUGGCUCUCACAUCGAUGAAGAACGCAGC
rnacentral:misc_RNA from 1 species